GUGUUGGGGGGGGAUGUGUGGGGAGGGAGGGAGGGGAACUAUUGCAUUCAAUAAGUGAACUGAACAAGGAGCUGGUUUUGGAGAUUACGACAAAAUGGCUGUGGUUGCACUCUACCAAUCGGGGCGUUUAAAAAACGAAACUAUCUGAAGGGUUUGCAGAGGGAAAACAUCAUCACACAACCGGUCCUGGUGGCUCGCCGGUUAUAAAUCGCUGAACGGUCGGUUCUCCGGGAGAGGCUGAAGCGAUCAGCGCCGUUUUUUUCUCAAUGCACAACAACGCCUCUACUAGCGGUGUGCAGUGAAUGAGGUGGGUCGCACAUGCAUUUCUCUACCCCCUGGAAACGUUUAGCAGCCUCGAGCACGUGCUGGCUGAUUGUGUUAUUGAACCGAGUGUGCUACUAUGUUCGAGAUGAGCACGAUUCUGGUGCGAAUUGAAGCCCAUUCAGUGUGUGUGUGUGUGUGUGUGUGUGUGUCGUAGUGCAAGCGUACUUUUGGUCGUUAUAACAAAGAAAGCGAAAGACAUCCGCAUUACCCAACCCUAACAUGCAGACUCACAGGGAGGGGGUUUCCAGCGUGCUGUAAACCUUGAAUGGGUUCGGCGUUACGAUAUGAAUAUAAUGCGACUGCUUUUUUUUUUUGGCAGGCAGUCGCCGGUAGCAUGAAGGAAAGCCAACAAAACCGCACACACUUUUAAUAUACAGGCGAUCCCACACAUGGACGACACGCAAAUGCGAUUUAUUUAAUCUCGUCUGCAGCGUGUGUAUGUAGGGCUGUCCUCCACGAAAUAAGGACACAGCCCUACUAUAAGGUUUUAUUUGCUUUGUGAAACGGACAAAUCGAAUAUUACUAUGACUGAAAGACCAGAUUAAAAACAAAUGAUGGAAAGUACACUACACGAUGAGAAACACAACGUACACACACGCACACACGCACACAAAAAGUAUCCACGUGAAGUGGCUAUUAGCAUUCUGCCUCCUCUGGGUGCAUUCCAACUCAUUGCAGCUUCGCCCCGGGCUCUGGGUGAGGCAAUGCGUCUGAAACCUGCAGACACAAAGCAGGAUAUGUUUGUGCAAGCCCCGAUGACGUUGGAAAGAGGAAGCAAGAUGUUUAGUCACGUAGCCACAGCGCGCCUCACCCAUCUAUAAUGAACACAUGGAGCCAUGAACACAUCACGGGGUGGAAGGCUGAUCUUUGGAUCGCACCCAGACCCCACCUCCUACUGAGGAAUUUAUACUGCGAGAAAGUUCAACCAGUAAUCUGUGUUUUCUUUCACCGCCGGUUUUUCUGCCAAUCGAUGCUCCCUAUCAAAUCGUGCUGCCUAGUGAUUCUGCGCACGCGCAUGACGACAAAAUAGAAUAUAUUAUUUUUUUUAUCGGUCUAUUUAUUGUUGUUGAGAAUAUAGGUGUGUUUCAUUCCUGAGGCGACCUGUUUAUUUGUAACAAGGCUUCUAAAAUGUCAUUAGACCAUAUAGUAGAAGGCUAUUACAUUGGGACAUCUAUGUUCAUUAGAAUAGUGUGGUUGAGCUGUCUGAUGCUAUGGUUAAUUUGAUUAAAUACGGACGGAAAUAAAUGUAGUACUCUUAAAUUCCCAGAAAAGCACAUGACUUCUGCGCUACUUUGACCCCUUGUGAUUCAAUUCGCUCUCUGAUUCUUUGCGGCUGUGCUUUCCAUCCACAUUAAUGCGGAUUAUGGUUAUGCAUAGUGUAACCGAGAUUCGAUUAAAAUCGAAUCCUCGUGAUUUAAAAAUACAUCAUCAAAAAAGACAACGUUGUUAGUCUAAUUGUGAAUAACAAUAAUAACCCAGACUUUAUUGCGAUUUGGACAAAUGUUGUGUAACCAUUAUGUGACAUGCCGUGACAAAUACGCAACUCAAGGGCGCCCACUUAAACCUAAUGGCGAAGACAUAUAGCGUGAUUUGUAAAUGAAGAGUGGAAGUAGUUAACAAGCGAGGGAGAUGAAGGCAUUGGGAAUACUCAUGACAACAUUAACAAGUAAACUGGCGUUGGGUUUAGCUCGCAUUCUGAGCCUGUUAAGUUGCAUAGGUCAUCUUUUAUUUAUGUUGGGGAGAACCAUUAAUCAUUCUCUGUGAAGCUGGUCUGCCCCAACCGGCGGAGAGCGCUCCAUGCAAUUGUGCAUUGCAUGUUUGGGUUGUUUUUUCCACUGCCACCACCACGGGCGCCACUGCUGACGUUGGCAAGCGAACGAACCGCAGAUAUAUUCCAGGGCUGCAGAAUGCAUAAUGCAGCCCUAGAAUAUAACUGCGGUGCGUUUCACACGUUAACCAUUUUGUGCAGUUUAUUUCACAUCGCCUUAUACAUGCGUAUGAUGCAAGUGGCGAGAUUGAAACACCAGGCCGGCAAUUGUCCACAGCCACACACGCUACACGUUGCUCGUAACCAUGGUGACCCCAGAGCACCCCCCCCCCCUUGCACCACACACACACACACACACACACACACACACACACACACACACACACACACACACACACACACACACAC